GAAGGCAACUUUUUUACAUUCAUCAUCAACCUAAAGCAAAGCACCUUUUGACUAACCCACUAAAAAAGGCCUUGUUCAUUGACAGCAUGAUCUUUGUAUUGUGUGACUAACUUAAAAGUCUGUGAUCUGAACCCAUGUGUCCUGUAGAACAAUUCCAGAGAUGCUAAUGACUAUCUAAGAUCAUCACAAAACCAGGCAGUAAUUUCCCUAGAGUUAGAAAUGCUUCCUUGGUUUUCCUCAUUGCUGUGCCUUUGAGAUGUUAGAAAUAGUUAAUGAUUUUCUGCUACAGUGAAAAAAAUCUACAGAUUCAUUGUCUCAAUGCGAUAUUUGCAUACAUCUCUGAAUUUUAGAUUGUUUGAUAGAGUGCUAUGACGACAUGCAGUCACCGCUACAAAAUACAAUGAAUAGCAGUUGCCAUGAACUUGGUGUCACCUAUUUUGGUAAGCAAUAUAUCUAAGGGAUUUAUACAUCCCUCUCAGGGAUAAAGCUUGGAAUUUUAGCUGUGUUACUUAGAACACAAUUGCACCCACCCCCUCACACAUACCUUAAUCUAACAGAGAGUUUAAUAUAGCCACAAUUUAAAGAUUAAUACAGUUGCAAUUAUUCUUUCUUCCCUUGCAGAAAAAAACAAGAUAUUUUGGAGUAUAAUUUUCUAAAAUUGAAAAGAACAGUGGAAGGCAUUGAGUUUGCUUUUGCUCUGGAUUUUCUUUUCUGGAAAAGUUAUGAAGGUUACAAAAUGUAUUCCAGUACCCUUUAGAGAAGAUCAGAGUUUUCCAGCCGGGCUCAGGUUAAGAAAGAACAAAAUACCUACUUGGAAAAAACGUCCAAAGAGAUCAGCAAAACAACACAGUUACAGAUGGGGAUGGAUCUGGGGCUAAUGAGCGAUUACUAAUGACUCAUUUCUGGGAUUUUCUGCUUUCCAUGAGGUGUGGCACCACACACUGGAUCUGUAUGAUCUGAAAGAGUCUGGACCUUGUGCUUCCUUUCUGAGGGCAGAAUGAUUCUGUAUCUGUGGAGUUGCCAGAGACCUGAGCACAGAGCUAAACACUUCACCAUCUGAUUCCCCACUGGAAUUUUCUAUAAAAAGGCAACUGGCUUUGAAAUAUUUAGAGACACUGAUCCAGCCGGAUGGAAUAAAAAAUACACAUAUUUACAACUGCAAAGGUUUUUGUGACAGCUACCUGCCUAUAAUGAAUUAUGAUACUGAAGAAGUCUUAUCAUAAGCAAAAGAGGAUCAAGGGAGGAAAGGGUGGUGAUGUUAGAAGGAUGCUCCUGUGAUAAUACGUGCCUCGAUUUAAGACUUCCUACAUUUCUACUGCUGUUUAGCUACAGAAAAGGUCCAGCAGAGUAGUGGACAGUGAGUUGCUAUGAGAAGGCAAAAAGAAAACCCAGACAAACAACAAACCAGAACAAAAACAGUAAGUAAAAGGUGAACUUAAACUUCUUUUUUUCUCAUCUUUCCAAAAGCAUUUUAUGUUAGGUAUUCAAGAAGGGAAUCCAGAAAGCUGAUGGAGAGUACUGAAGCUGGAGUAAUGGAGAGGAAGAAAAUCAUGAUUGCCAGUUAAUAUUAUAGAAGAAUACAUCUGCUCUGGAGAAGUACUAGGCAUCUGCUGGGCAUAUGCAGUGCUGGAAUACUCAUGUAAAGUGAUUUCUGGUGUUUCACGGAUGCUAAAAUCCUAUAUGUUGGAGUUUUUUUACAUUGUCUAAUUCAUGUUCUUUCUUAGUCCUUCUGUUAGGAUUUGCCAGCAAAUAGAAGGGUAGGGUUGAAGGAAACAGGGAGAUCAAUUUUCUAACUUUAACAGAAAUCCCAUUAAAAAGAGAGCUAACAAGCACUCACUUUUGAUUGCUAUUUAAUCAAUAAUGCAUCUAAUUAUUCUCUAUAUAGAUAUACUUUUGUUUUUAAAAUAUUUAUAUACAGAUGGAUAUACAUGCACUCUUUUUAACUUUUGUAUCUCGAUUAACCAAACAACAAAACAUAGAUUUGAAUGCAUUUUCCCAGUCUGAAAUUCAGAGUACAUAGAUUACUCUUGUAUGUUGGGGUCCUAGGCAGGAAGCCACCAGUUUGGCUUCUUCUUUCUCGACAUAUUUCUAGAAGGGAUUGGCACUAAUUUUAGAGGCAACUCUCUGAAUAAACUAACACAAUAAUAUUAAUAGCAAAGGAUAGAAUAAAAACACUGGCCUUCACAUUUCUUCUGGUUCUUCUUGGUGGCUGCAGAACAAGCAGCUCCUUACACAUGCUGAUAUCUUUAUAAGGUACUCAAGGAACUACUUUAUGU